rnacentral:lncRNA from 1 species
CAUAUUUCUUGAAUAUUGAUACAUUAUUGAUAAAACUCCUAUAACCUGAAAUUGCAUGGAUCAUUAUCAUUUAUCCUUAUUGCUUCUAAAAAAAUAAAAUUAUGACAUGAAUAGAGGGUCAAACCAAAUAUGGAUAAUGGUUUUCACAGAUCAUUCGUCUGGUAAAUUUGAUUAUUCAUGGUUGAUUUAAGAGGAACGAAUAAGGAGUUCAAUUACAUGUAGCCUCAUUGUAUUCCCAUUAACCUCCAUGCUCCUCUGUGCCCUACCUUUGGCAUCCGUUCAAAGCCAAACUAAAUAAUAAAUCUCUUUGAGGUGCAAUACACCGAAUUGACCAUUAACAAAAGUAUUUUUGAGCGAUUUGUAAUUAUUAUUUUUUUCUUCCCACUUCUAAACUCUCGGAUAGUUCCCAGAAAUCCAUUUGGUGAGGAACGUCUGUUUGGAGAUAUGCACGCAGGGAUGGCCGGCGGCAUCGCUGCCCUUGUUCUAAUAGUGGCUGUGAUAGUACUAUUUCUCAUCCUCUGGCUGGCCAAGAGACGACGAGAGAGGCGGGAUCCAGCGGACAGGGGCGCAGUAGCUCUUGGGAAACACCCAAAUGUGGUCAAUUCAGGACAUCCCAUAUCGCUAAUAGAGGAUGCCUCCUACCACAACGAGGCAUUCAUUGACCAUGAAUACCCCAGUGAUUUGUACACCAAAACAGAGGACAUGCUUCCUGCAUCAAUCAGGGCAUAUGAGUCUGAAAGGUCCACGGCACCGCAAGACAUGCUGCCCAUCCUGGUGCUUCCAGAAAUAAUACCCACAAACACCUCAUCUUCAGCUCUGGCCAAUGGGACAGCAUUCGGAAAAUCAGUCUCUUUUAAAGACGACACAGGAGCUGCAGUGGAGACUUUGCCCAAAAAUGAAGGACAAAUUAUAACUGUAUGUAAUCAAAUAGAAAACAAAGCGGAUAUUUCGACGCCUGUCAUGAAGCAGGACACUUUUGCUAACACUACAGCAGAAAGUCCUGCAGAAACGUUUAACGCUUGUUGCCCAGAUACUUCUCUAAGACCCAGAGAGGAAUGUAUGUUCGCCAAUGCUAAUGAGGAUGAUGAAGAUGACAAUGAUCCAUACAAGAACAUGGCCUCUGUUAUUUACAGCAGUGAUGAAGACACAGGGGAAGAUGAGCCAAAUGAUUUAAGCCACUAUUACAAACAUGGGCAAAACCAGUUUACAGUUGACCACAUGAAGGCCAUGAGAUUUCAAAUCGAGGAUUCGGAUGAAUCGCAAGCCUGAUUCAAUUCGAAGUCGUUCUCAUGAAAAGCCAAAUCCUCUCUAGUUGAAACAACACAGGCUCAUCAAACAAGACAAAACUAUGUAUAAUCAAACUUUACAGUUGGCUGAGCACAUCCUUUUCAAGUUUUGCUUUAUAUUCGAUGUUUGAACUGGUACAGAAAUACACAGACAAUAUAGUGCACAUGAUCAGCCUUAAUUAAGAAUCAGUUUAAAUGAUGAUUGUUAAACAUAUUAUUACAUAUAUUAUACUGUAAUGUAUUCUGCCUGAUAUUGAGGUCAAACCCUGAACCCAUAAAGUAUGUAUUGUAUACUAAAUGAUUUAUUUUAGCCUUUAAUGUUCUGAUUACUGAUGUCUGCUGUCUCUUGUGGAGUUAAAAAUACUCAAACACAAAAAUGGUUGAAAUAAACUGUAAUUUUCCAUUUAGUAUCUAAAUAAUAAAUACAAGUUGGAGAACACAAUAAGUGCCAAAACUGAUGCAUUGCCAUGUUUUACUAAAACAAGAGCUAAAUGCUGUUGAAUAGUCUGCUGCAGCAUAUUGCAAUUUGUUGUUUUAAUUUAUGACAUACAGUAUGGAUUCGAUGAUAUUCAGGUGCAUUAGGAUUUCUGGAGAUCCUGUGAAACUGCUCUAGACAUUACUCUGGAGCUAAAAUAUAACAUUUCAGAGCAUUUUUUGCUUUUGGAAAACAUCUUGGAUUCUACACAGUAGAGUCUUUGAGGUAAAACUGCUUAAAAGCUUCAAAUAGUUUUGACAAGGGUGCACAGUUCAUCUUUUACUUGAAAUAUAAUGUGAAGCUCUGAUGUGUCUUUUCUCUGUUUGUCUGCAGGAGGCAUCAUCACCCAUCUCACCUCGCAGUGUGCCGUAGGACUAAGCAGCAGCAUCACAAUCAUAUUUGAGAAUACUCUAUUUCUAGACGCACAUGCAGUCAAGAUAUCUGUGCCGGGACCAAGAAAAUUGUGAGAGACACAUGGAGGAGAACAUACAAAUCUUUGUAAACAGCUGUUUUUGUGGCAUUUUGAGUAAUUCUGGCAUGUUUGGGUUUUGUGUGGAAGGAUACAGGGGAAUACAGUCCCAUGAACCCUGGUCGUGGCAGCUUAUAUGUUGAAAUAUGUAUGAAUCCUUGGAUCUUUGUGAAAAACAUAUUCAUUUAAAUCUCACUAUACUGUAUACUGUUCAAAAAAGAACUUGUGUACGAUUUAAAAAAAAAAAGUCUUAUGCUCAACAAGACUGCAAGGCUAAAAACAGUAAUGUAGUGCAAUAUUACUGUUUUCUAUUUUAUUAUAUUUCUAUUUUAUUAUAAAAUGUCAUUUAUUGCUGUGAUGGCAAAGCUGACGUUUCAGCAGCCAGCAAUCCAGUGGCUCCAUGAUCCUUCAGAAAGAAUUAUAAUGUGCUUAAGAAACAUUUCUUAUUAUCCAUUUGGAAACGUUUUGGUCAAUAUUUUGUGGAUUAUUAUUAUUAUUAUUAUUUUGUAUUUAUUAUUAUUAUUAUUAUUAUCAUCAAUUUUCAAAACAGUUGUGUUGCUUAAUAUUUUUGUGGAUUUUUUUUUUUAAGAUUUCAAGAUAUCUUAAUGUUUGUUUUUUUCCUCUAAAAGUAAAUGCAGCCAUAUCUUAAAUGAUAAUACCAUGUAUCACAGUGCUUGAUAGCAUAUAUUAAAUGUUUCUGGUCACUUGUCAUUAGGAGGCUGUGAUGCAACGAAGCAACAGAAAACUAUUUUAACCAAAAAAAAAAAAAAAAAAAACAUAGAGCAGAAAUUUAUACAGUUACUAAAACCUGUAAAUGUUGGGUUCACCAAAAAGAAUAACGCCCUUUUGUUGUUCCAAUGCAGUAUGACUUGUUUUUUUCUGAGCAAUAUUCAUGCUGCUCUCGUCCAUACAAUGACAGUGGGUCAGAAGCACCUAAUUAUGCACCAUAUUCCAAGUCCUCUGAAGCCAUAUUAUGGUUCUCCGUGUUAAACAAAACUAGGCUAUUUGAAAUGUGCUAUUUGGUGAACAUCUCAAGAACAGAAUUAAUAUAAUAUCUGGGGUUUGUGCUGUCUUAUGAAGUGUGAUCACAAGAGGACGCCAUUAGACCAUUUUCCUUCUGUUACAGCUGUUUGUUUUUUUUCUCUGUUUUUAUUUUUUAUUUAACAUGACGAAUGUCCGGUAACGUUUACUGAACGUGUGUGGCUAGAAGGGAUAGAGCUACGGCCGGAAAAUAACAAUAAAGAACAUUCGCCACCUAUCACAUUCUGUUUUAUUAUCGUCUACACAUACCCCAUCCCUAAACCGACCUCUUACAAUAAUCCAAAUACAGUAAAUGUUGUUCAGUUUGACAAAAACGAGGCAAUUGAUGUGCGCAUGCCCAGUAAGCUCCGGUGGCUGUGGCUCUAUUCCUUCUAGCUUCAACUUACAGCACACCUGCAUGCCUAGGCUACUUCAAACCAGGCGCGUAGCCAGUAAUGGGCCAGGGCGGCACUGGCCCGCCCACAUUACUCACUGGCCCGCCCAGGCAAGGUUGAUUAAAAUACAUUUUUAGUUUAUUUUUAUUAUUCAAAUGUAUUUAAGAAAAUAUAUUAAUAUAAACCUGAUUUAUUGUUGACUGGUGUGUGUGUGUGUUUAAUUUGUUUUCCGAAUAAAAUGGAAUUGUUGAAGCAAGUUGUAGAAAGCGUCCCUCCUGAACCUAGGCCUAAUUGGUUGCUAUGGUUGCUAGGGCGACAGGAAGACUCUCUGAGCGGCGGGCUCUGGCGGCCUUUAGCCAAUGUAUUAACAUCGCCAUAAUAAUGGCUAAACAAGUUUCUUUAAUGUUUUAUUUAAAUAAAAAAAAAAAGAGUUGAGGAAGAAGACACGCCACUGCCUUCAUCUGUCGAGUCCACCCAGCCCAGCUCUUCAGACUCAUUAACCCACAAGAAGGCUAGUCAGGCGCCGGUGGCGGCCGCCGCGUGCUCCCUGGCGGCAGUGCCAGUGCUCUCUCCCGGUCAGCCUGACGCGGGUUUACCCGCCGAUCUAACUGCAAUAGAUGAACCACCUUCACAACCCAAUCUGAAAGUAUUUCUACAUUGUUUAAAUGAGUUGCUAUUUUUUUGGCACAAAAGUUUAAUUUCCACCAUUGCAUUGUAUAUGGUUGAUUUAACAGAAAUUAGGGAGCGUGUUGUUAUUUAUUUCAAACCAUGCUCUGCUGAAUUUUCAUUAUUUUAAUUUCUUUUACUUUUAGCCUAUAUUUUCGGGUGAACUGUCUGCACUGCUGAGUAACUUGAAUGAAAUAGGUUAUUGUCUAUGCUGGUGGUUUGUCCAGCCUUUAUUGAGCUCUGUUGGUUGAACAUGAUGAUUAGACAGUGUUUUGUUAUUGCCUUGCCGAAUAUUGCAAAAUAAAGGUGUAACUGUUUUUGCAGUUUUUCUAUUCUUUUUUCCACUCUCUAAGGUUAUUUAAGUCAUAUUUUUUCUAGGAAAAACUAUAGGCCCACCCACUUUUUUAAUGGCCCGCCCAAAAUACAAUUUCUGCCUACGCCACUGCUUCAAACCCCUGAAAAGUAAGUUCUUUAAAAGAACAACAAUUGUAGUAAAAUACUCUACUACUUGCUAAAUAUAAUUCAAAUAGGUGAAAAGGAAUUUGAAAUUUGUGGCCUUCUAAAAGUUUUUGUCAACGUUUAGGUCCACACACAGCUAGCCUAUAAAACAGAUGAUAACAAACGGAUGGAAAACUGACAUCUUAUAGGCGUCUCUCAGACGUUUGUACACAGCAGACGAUGUAACGAUCUUUAACAGACAUCUUGCAGAUGUACUUGUGUUACAGAGUCCACUUUUUAUUUUAUUUUGUCUUUGGUGGUUUCAAAUUAACGUGUUGACAUUUAAUAAACACAAAAAACGAUGCAAAACACCUCUUUGUGUUUGUUUGUCGGACAGAUGUUUCAACAUUUGAAUGGGAGUCUAAAUGUGGUGCUUGUGUUGACCACUAGGGAGCGGGUACAUUUAAUUUCAAUGAUGCUUAUGAAAAGUGUUUAUCACAGUUAAGUGUUUAAUUAGUGCAAAACAUAAUUUGGCCCUAUAAGAAGAAGGUGCUGUGUGUGUGUGUGUGUGUGUGUGUGUGUGUAUACACACUGCGACUCAUGGGGACUUGAUUUAGGUCCCAAUGGGGAAACACGUUUUUAAAUCAUACAGCAUUUUUUUUUCCUGAGAAUUAAAAAAUGCAGAAAGUUUUCUGUGAAGGGUAGGUUUAGGUGUGUGUGUGUGUGUUGUAUAUUGAGACAGUUCCUUGAGGUUUCAUCGCUAGUUUGUUCUGCUUAGCUGACCAUGAUAGCUUGAACUAAUAUACUCAUACUGUACAAUAACAUACAGUCACUUCACUGCUCACUUUCCUUGUAAUAUAUAAAUACCCAUUGUCACUCAAUGCAUUAAAAAAUUGUAGAAAGGUACUGAAUAAUAUUUAAUGUCUGAAGUAAGAAGUAUUGAGAUUACGUGGAUAUGUAAAUGUGCACAAGAGCAUGAAGCUAUUGCCAUGUUUUUUCUUCUGUAUGUCUUUUAAUUCUGUCAGGCACAUGGACUUUGAUAGACUGGAGACAAAUGCUGCCUAAUGUAACGGGAGGACGUGCACGUAACAGGCUGUGAAUCAGACAUACACAUCCUGAACACACACACACAGAGCGCCAUGGCUUAAUCAGCUAAUAGUGGUGAGUGGGACUGUAUCAUGCUUGUAGUGCUGAAUUAAUUUCAACAUUUUCACAGCUGAGAUCUUUUGGUCAUUUUUGGGGAAGCAGAUCGCUCUUGGUUGUAGACAUCCUCAUGGCUCAAAAAUACACACUGUUACAUGACUGCAUAAACAGUGCAUUUUACAAAAACACAAUACCAUCACAACACAUCACGACAUGAUUUAAAGGAAA